UACGUAGGGUGCGAGCGUUGCCCGGAUUUAUUGGGCGUAAAGGGCGCGUAGGCGGCUCGGCACGUCCGUUGUGAAAUCGCUCGGCUCAACUGGGCGAGGUCAGCGGAUACGGUCGAGCUUGAGCCAGCUAGGGGGCAAUGGAAUUCCCGGUGUAGUGGUGGAAUGCGUAGAUAUCAGGAGGAACACCGAUGGCGAAGGCAGCUCGCUGGGACGGUACUGACGCUGAGGCGCGAAAGCGUGGGGAGCAAACAGG
rnacentral:rRNA from 1 species